rnacentral:misc_RNA from 1 species
GAUGAAGAACGUAGCGAAAUGCGAUAAGUAAUGUGAAUUGCAGAAUUCAGUGAAUCAUCGAAUCUUUGAACGCACAUUGCGCCCGCCAGUAUUCUGGCGGGCAUGCCUGUUCGAGCGUCAUUACAACCCUCAGGCCCCCGGGCCUGGCGUUGGGGAUCGGCGGAAGCCCCCUGUGGGCACACGCCGUCCCUCAAAUACAGUGGCGGUGCCGCCGCAGCUUCCAUUGCGUAGUAGCUAACACCUCGCAACUGGAGAGCGGCGCGGCCAUGCCGUAAAACACCCAACUUCUGAAUGUUGACCUCGAAUCAGGUAGGAAUACCCGCUGAACUUAAGCAUAUCAAUAAGCGGAGGA